UACGGAGGGGGCUAGCGUUGUUCGGAAUUACUGGGCGUAAAGGGCGCGUAGGCGGACAGUUUAGUCAGAGGUGAAAGCCCAGGGCUCAACCUUGGAAUAGCCUUUGAUACUGACUGUCUUGAGUUCGGGAGAGGUGAGUGGAAUGCCGAGUGUAGAGGUGAAAUUCGUAGAUAUUCGGCGGAACACCAGUGGCGAAGGCGACUCACUGGCCCGAUACUGACGCUGAGGCGCGAAAGCGUGGGGAGCAAACAGG
rnacentral:rRNA from 1 species